GGGUGAGGGGGCACUCUUCAUUCAGUGGCGAACGGGUGAGUAAUGCAUCGGAACGUGUCCCGUAGUGGGGGAUAACGCCGCGAAAGCGGCGCUAAUACCGCAUAUGCUCUACGGAGGAAAGCAGGGGACCUGAGAGGGCCUUGUGCUGGGGGAGCGGCCGAUGUCCGAUUAGCUUGUUGGUGGGGUAACGGCCUACCAAGGCUGCGAUCGGUAGCUGGUCUGAGAGGAUGAUCAGCCACACUGGGACUGAGACACGGCCCAGACUCCUACGGGAGGCAGCAGUGGGGAAUUUUGGACAAUGGGGGCAACCCUGAUCCAGCCAUGCCGCGUGCGGGAAGAAGGCCUUCGGGUUGUAAACCGCUUUUAGCCGGGAAGAAAAGCCUACGGAUAACACCCGUGGGUUUUGACGGUACCGGCGGAAUAAGCACCGGCUAACUACGUGCCAGCAGCCGCGGUAAUACGUAGGUGCGAGCGUUAAUCGGAAUUACUGGGCGUAAAGCGUGCGCAGGCGGUUCGUUGUGUCGGUGGUGAAAGCCCCGGGCUUACCUGGGAAUGGCCAUGAACUGGGCGAACUGGUGUGUGGCAGAGGGGGGGUGGAAUCCGCGUG
rnacentral:rRNA from 1 species